rnacentral:piRNA from 1 species
UGACACACAACAUGCUAUUGUCCCGUAGU